rnacentral:rRNA from 1 species
UACGUAGGGUGCGAGCGUUGUCCGGAAUUAUUGGGCGUAAAGAGCUCGUAGGCGGUCUGUCGCGUCGAUCGUGAAAACUUGGGGCUUAACCCUGAGCUUGCGGUCGAUACGGGCAUGACUGGAGUUCGGCAGGGGAGACUGGAAUUCCUGGUGUAGCGGUGAAAUGCGCAGAUAUCAGGAGGAACACCGAUGGCGAAGGCAGCUCGCUGGGACGGUACUGACGCUGAGGCGCGAAAGCGUGGGGAGCAAACAGG